UGCUGCUCCAAGAGGAAAGUUGUUGCUACUAGGAAUUAAAAACAAACGAAUAGUUUGUUGCGUUUAAUUGCCGAGUUUUGGCUAAUUGAGAAUGUUCCUUACUUGGGAUGCAGUGCCUUGUAUAUUUAUUUUCAUGUGUGUGGCACUUAUUAGAACUUCUCCAUGAGAAAUGAGAAAGGAGCUGUAUGAACAUGAUGGAGUUUGUAAUUUGUAGUUUACAUUUUGGAGAUUUAUAAUUCCUUAUUUUUCUUGUCCUAUGUAUCUAUCUAGUUCAUUAGAGUUCUUCAAUAUGUCUUGUUAGUUUGUACUUUAAAGUUUAUAUGUUGAAGAUUUAUAAAACAAUCUUAGUUAA